GCUGGGUAUGACUGUAGCUCAGUGGCAGAACAUCUGCUUUGCAUGCAGAAGGUCCCAGGUACUAUUCCUGGCAUCUGGCA